UACGGAGGGUGCGAGCGUUGUCCGGAAUCACUGGGCGUAAAGGGCGCGUAGGCGGCCUGAUAAGUAGGGGGUGAAAUCCUGCGGCUUAACCGCAGGGCUGCCUUCUAAACUGUCAGGCUCGAGCACAGUAGAGGCAGGUGGAAUUCCCGGUGUAGCGGUGGAAUGCGUAGAGAUCGGGAAGAACAUCAGUGGCGAAGGCGGCCCGCUGGGCUGUUGCUGACGCUGAGGCGCGACAGCGUGGGGAGCAAACAGG
rnacentral:rRNA from 1 species